UUCCGGUUGAUCCCGCCGGAGGCCACUGCUAUCGGGGUUCGAUUAAGCCAUGCGAGUCGAGAGGUGAAAGACCUCGGCAUACUGCUCAGUAACACGUGGACAACCUACCCUAAGGAGGGGGAUAACCCCGGGAAACUGGGGAUAAUACCCCAUAGACUAGAGAAGCUGGAAUGCUCUCAAGUCCAAAGGUCCGCCGCCUUAGGAUGGGUCUGCGGUCGACUAGGUUGUUGUUGGGGUAACGGCCCAACAAGCCCGUGAUCGAUACGGGUUGUGAGAGCAAGAGCCCGGAGAUGGAUUCUGAGACACGAAUCCAGGCCCUACGGGGCGCAGCAGGCGCGAAAACUUUACAAUGCGGGAAACCGCGAUAAGGGAACCCCGAGUGCCCGUAAAUUCGGGCUGUCCAUCAGCGUAAAUAACUGGUGAAGAAAGGGCCGGGCAAGACCGGUGCCAGCCGCCGCGGUAAUACCGGCGGCUCGAGUGGUGGCCACUAUUAUUGGGCUUAAAGCGUCCGUAGCUUGGUUGUUAAGUCUCUUGGGAAAUCUACCGGCUCAACCGGUAGGCGUUCAGGAGAUACUGGCAAUCUAGGGACCGGGAGAGGUGAGAGGUACUCCAGGGGUAGGAGUGAAAUCCUGUAAUCCUUGGGGGGACCACCUGUGGCGAAGGCGUCUCACUAGAACGGCUCCGACAGUGAGGGACGAAAGCUGGGGAGCAAACCGGAUUAGAUACCCGGGUAGUCCCAGCUGUAAACGAUGCGCGUUAGGUGUAUCGGUGACCACGAGUCACCGAGGUGCCGAAAGGGAAACCGUGAAACGUGCCGCCUGGGGAAGUACGGUCGCCAGGGCUGAAACUUUAAAGGAAUUGGCGGGGGAAGCCACA
rnacentral:rRNA from 1 species